rnacentral:rRNA from 1 species
CGGGGAGGUAGUGACGAAAAAUAACGAUACGGGACUCAUCCGAGGCCCCGUAAUCGGAAUGAGUACACUUUAAAACCUUUAACGAGGAUCAAUUGGAGGGCAAGUCUGGUGCCAGCAGCCGCGGUAAUUCCAGCUCCAAUAGCGUAUAUUAAAGUUGUUGCGGUUAAAAAGCUCGUAGUUGAAUUUGUGUGCCACACUGUCGGUUCAUCGCUCGCGAUGUUUAACUGACAUGACUGUGGGACGUCCUACCGGUGGGCUUAGCCUCUCGCGGGGCGGUCCAGCUAAUAUCCCAUCGCGGUGCUCUUCAUCGAGUGUCGAGGUGGGCCGGUACGUUUACUUUGAACAAAUUAGAGUGCUCAAAGCAGGCUACUUUCGCCUGAAUACUGUGUGCAUGGAAUAAUGGAAUAGGACCUCGGUUCUAUUUUGUUGGUUUUCGGAACCCCGAGGUAAUGAUUAAUAGGGACAGAUGGGGGCAUUCGUAUUGCGACGUUAGAGGUGAAAUUCUUGGAUCGUCGCAAGACGAACAGAAGCGAAAGCAUUUGCCAAAAAUGUUUUCAUUAAUCAAGAACGAAAGUUAGAGGUUCGAAGGCGAUCAGAUACCGCCCUAGUUCUAACCAUAAACGAUGCCAGCUAGCGAUCCGCCGAAGUUCCUCCGAUGACUCGGCGGGCAGCUUCCGGGAAACCAAAGCUUAUGGGUUCCGGGGGAAGUAUGGUUGCAAAGCUGAAACUUAAAGGAAUUGACGGAAGGGCACCACCAGGAGUGGAGCCUGCGGCUUA